rnacentral:rRNA from 1 species
GCACAAGCGGUGGAGCAUGUGGAUUAAUUCGAUGCAACGCGAAGAACCUUACCUGGGUUUGACAUGCACAGGACGCCGGCAGAGAUGUCGGUUCCCUUGUGGCCUGUGUGCAGGUGGUGCAUGGCUGUCGUCAGCUCGUGUCGUGAGAUGUUGGGUUAAGUCCCGCAACGAGCGCAACCCUUGUCCCAUGUUGCCAGCACGUAAUGGUGGGGACUCAUGGGAGACUGCCGGGGUCAACUCGGAGGAAGGUGGGGACGACGUCAAGUCAUCAUGCCCCUUAUGUCCAGGGCUUCACACAUGCUACAAUGGCCGGUACAGAGGGCUGCGAGACCGCAAGGUGGAGCGAAUCUCUUAAAGCCGGUCUCAGUUCGGAUCGGGGUCUGCAACUCGACCCCGUGAAGUCGGAGUCGCUAGUAAUCGCAGAUCAGCAACGCUGCGGUGAAUACGUUCCCGGGC